CCAAAUUCGGCGAACCAAACCGAUUCUUGGGCGAGUUUGACCGGUCCAAUAAGACCGCCGUCGCCUCGCAGCUGCCGAGACGAAGCAGCUCUCGCGAAUGGAGGCGGCGAUCGGCGUCGAGACGCUUAAUGCGUUUCUUGUCAUCGCAUUCCUUGCUGUUUUAUUCAUGUUUUCGUCCUCGAUCCGCCGCCAUCGGCGACGGAAGAUGGCCGACGGCUGCAACUGCUACCCCGAUCUCGAGGACAAACCGCAGAACCGAUUUAAGCGCGUUCUUGCUGACAACUCUUACUCCCCCUUCAGGCAUUUUAAGCGGGAGGGCAAAGAGAAAGAAAUUUCUUUAAGGAUUCACCCCUUUGCAAGAGAAAUUGAUUACUUGUUGAAGCAUCCACCUGAUCUUAAAACAUUCAUCACAAGUCACAGAAAUCCAAACUCGAGUUGUCAUUUUGUUUGGAUAGAUACUGAAGAUCAGUUAGAGGCACUUGCAAACAUAUUAAACGAAGAGGAAAUCUUUGCUGUUGAUACUGAACAACAUAGUAUUCGGUCAUUCCUUGGUUUUACUUCCCUUAUACAGAUUUCUACUUGGAAGGAAGAUUACUUAAUAGAUACAAUUGCUCUGCAUGAUAUGAUGGCCACUCUACGACCUGUUUUUGCUAAUCCUGCAAUUAUCAAGGUUUUUCAUGGAGCUGAUAAUGAUGUUCUUUGGCUUCAACGAGACUUCCAUAUAUAUGUUGUGAACAUGUUUGAUACUGCAAAGGCAUGUGAAAUUUUGUCAAAGCCACAAAAAUCAUUAGCAUAUCUUCUGGAGACUUAUUGUGGAGUAUAUACUGACAAAACUUUACAGCGUGAAGAUUGGAGAUUACGACCUCUUUCAGAUGAAAUGACUGAAUAUGCUCGUAAUGAUGCGCACUAUUUGUUGUACAUUGCUGGAUGUUUGGCUUCAGAGUUGGAAAGUAAAACCUCUGAUAUUUCAGCCUCUCCCAGCGACGAGUUGAAUUUUUUCUUGGAGACCAGUCGUCGGUCAAACACAGUCUGUUUGCAGCUUUAUGUGAAAGAAGUUGAAUCUACUCCUGGAGCUUCAGCUGCAUCAUCUAUAUUAUCACGGAAUAUGAACAUUGUAGGACUCACAUCAUCAAAGAAUUUGGAAACAAAGGAUCUUAUCUGGAUUUUAUGUGCAUGGAGAGAUCUGAUUGCUCGAAUUCAUGAUGAGAGCUUGCGAUAUGUUCUGUCAGAUCAAGCUAUUGCAGCUCUUGCUGUAAUAGCUCCCAAAAAUCCAUCAGAAAUAUAUAAUGUUAUAUUGCAAGCUGACACGAGUAAUGUUUCUUCAAAUGCUUAUCCCACCCUUCCAUCACCAUCACCUAUUAUUAAGAAUCAUAUGGAUGACCUUUGCUUUCUUCUACUAGAAGUUGAUGCUAAUGUGGAUGAUGUCAUUCAAACAUAUUGGCAGAAGCACCUAAAUGGUGCUCAGUGUUGUCCACUGUCACCUUACAAUUAUGCUCUUUUGUCUCAAUUCAAUCUGAAACAUUCUGGUAUGUCAUUUUCGAAGUCAAGUGUCGAAAAGUUUAAUUCAACAGUAAGCAAAAAAGCCUCCCGUGAACUCUUUAUUCAGAAAUUUUCAUGCAAGUCACCAGUGUAUCAUAAUUGUAGAAUUUAUGCAACUCAUGGAAGAAUGCUCUGUUAUUGUGAUCGCAAGAAACUCGAAUGGUAUCUGCGGAGAGGUUUGGCAAAAAUGGUAGAUGAGGAUCCUCCAGCAAUUAUGCUUCUUUUUGAAACAAAAGGUCGUCCAGAAGAUGAAGGUAAUGAGUUCUAUAUUCAAAGCAAGAAAAACAUGUGUGUUGGAUGUGGGGAGAAGAGUCACUAUAUACGCUAUAGAAUAAUACCAUCUUGCUACAGAAUGCACUUUCCUGAGCAUUUGAAGAGUCAUCGUUCUCAUGACAUUGUUUUGCUAUGUGUGGACUGCCAUGAAAUAGCUCAUUCUGCUGCUGAGAAGUAUAAGAAGCAAGUGGCACAAGAAUUUGGAAUACCUCUUUUUGUGCAAAAAAUUGUUAAUUCUGGUGAAAGUACAGCUGCAACUGUGGCUUCAACAUCAAUGAGUGCAGAUGAGGAGACUGGUGUCUCUCCUUUGCAGUUACGAACUGCUGCUAUGGCUCUUCUACGUCAUGGAUCCAACAUGCCAUCAGGAAGGCUGGAGGAACUGAUGCAGAUUGUGAGGACAUACUUUGGUAGACAGGAGGUUUCUGUGGAAGAUCUGGAAGCUGCAUUACUUGUUGGUAUGAGUCCACAUGAGAGAAGACGGUUCGAGAAGAAAAGAGGUUUAUCAUUUAGACAUACUGAGCAGAAUGUUGUAUAUAAAAAUCAUAUAUCUAGUUCUUCACAGAUCAAUAAUCAUAACAAAGAGAAGGAUAAGGAAAGUAUAAAUGAUCAGAGAAUCCAUUCAAAUUUGUCUCCUGUUGAUACGAAUGGGAAUUUGUUACUCGAGACUUUUGGUUCUAGUAGCAUCCAGAUUUUGAACAGGGAAGUAGAAAUUGAACAAGGAAACGCUUCCUAUCUGAAAAUGGAUAUUGAAAAUGAGGAUCAAUUAGAUGAUUCUAGUGUGAAUUUACUACUCAUGCCUGAUGAGAUCACCUCCUCAGAAACUGCAAAAAAGAUGUCACUGUUAGGACAUGGACCACAUGGGAAACAAGUGGUGGAGCAUUUAUUAAGAAGGUACAGAGAGGAAGGAGUCCGCCAAUUUUGUCAAAGGUGGAGAAAAGUGUUUGUUGAUGCCAUUCAUCCUCGUUUCUUGCCAUUGGGUUGGGAUAUAAUGCACAGAGGUAUCAUGGAUAUCUGCCAAAUUAAGCUUUUGGCAUCAAUUGCAUCUAUUGUAGCCCACUCCAGACCCAACUAGAAAUCCGAAUCCCUCCUAAAUCAUCACGAAUCACUUUGGUUCGGUCUGGAUUCUCACUAUCAGCGGACGCAGGGAUUUCGGUGACUAUAGUGUUUAUAAUCCCGCCAAGAAGGCUCUCCCAGAAACCAACAUGGUAGACUAGAAGUCUACGCAUAGCAUCGGUAACAUUCCUUGGCUUUGAAUUUCCUAAAACCAGUAGAGAGCUGCAUUUGUUAGUUCGUUCUUGAUUCAGAGAGAGAAAAAAUGACCUCUUUGUUGUUGUAAUCGAAAUCUAAACUGAUUGAUUAUGUGUAAUCUUGUUGUUUCUUUGGGUAAACGAUAAAGUAAUGGUAUGCAUUUGUUCCAACCUAA